CGCGCGCAACCGCCCCCGUUGCCAGGGAAGUGAGGUCACGCGCUAUGGCUGCCGUGAGCCCGAGCGGUUGAGGGGACGGCCCAGCGGCGCAAUCCGCCUCCAUCCUCGCCGGGAACUGCGACCGGGGGUCUGCCUGCCUCGCUAGUACCGAGCGGCGGGGCUGGGGCCGCGAUGGCAGCAGGGAGCGCGGGGCUUUGAGGCGACGGGGCGGGCGGAGACGACGGGCGAACCGAGGCGCCGCCAUGGAGCUGAGGGUCGGGAACCGGUACCGGCUGGGCCGGAAGAUCGGGAGCGGCUCCUUCGGGGACAUUUACCUGGGAACUGAUAUUGCUGCUGGAGAGGAGGUCGCAAUUAAAUUGGAAUGUGUGAAAACCAAGCAUCCUCAGUUGCACAUCGAGAGCAAAAUCUACAAAAUGAUGCAGGGUGGAGUGGGUAUUCCCACAAUUAAGUGGUGUGGAGCUGAAGGAGACUACAAUGUAAUGGUGAUGGAGCUGUUGGGACCGAGUCUUGAAGAUCUCUUCAACUUUUGUUCAAGGAAAUUCAGUCUCAAGACGGUCCUGUUACUCGCUGAUCAAAUGAUUAGUCGAAUUGAAUAUAUUCACUCUAAGAACUUCAUCCACCGAGACGUGAAGCCGGAUAACUUCUUAAUGGGCCUGGGGAAGAAAGGCAAUCUUGUCUAUAUAAUAGACUUUGGAUUAGCAAAGAAGUAUCGAGAUGCUCGAACUCACCAACAUAUUCCAUAUCGUGAAAAUAAAAACUUGACAGGAACUGCCCGUUAUGCAUCUAUCAACACUCAUCUUGGAAUUGAGCAAUCUCGCAGAGAUGACUUGGAGUCCUUGGGCUAUGUACUGAUGUAUUUUAACCUGGGCUCCCUCCCCUGGCAGGGACUGAAAGCAGCAACAAAGAGGCAGAAAUACGAACGUAUCAGUGAAAAGAAAAUGUCUACACCCAUUGAGGUUUUGUGUAAAGGAUAUCCUUCUGAAUUUGCUACAUAUUUGAAUUUCUGCCGUUCUUUGCGUUUUGAUGACAAACCGGACUAUUCCUAUCUAAGGCAAUUAUUCAGAAACCUCUUCCACCGACAAGGGUUCUCCUAUGACUACGUGUUUGACUGGAACAUGCUGAAAUUUGGUGCAAGCAGAGCAGCUGAAGAUGCUGAACGUGAAAGGCGAGAACGAGAGGAAAGACUGAGACAUACACGAAAUCCAGCUGUGCGUGGAUUGCCCUCCACUGCUUCUGGCAGGCUGAGAGGAACACAAGAUGUAGCUCCUUCUACUCCUCUUACCCCAACUUCACAUGCUGCCAACACCUCUCCUCGGCCAGUAUCUGGUAUGGAACGAGAAAGGAAAGUGAGUAUGAGAUUGCAUCGUGGUGCCCCAGUCAAUAUCUCGUCAUCUGACUUAACAGGCCGACAAGAUACCUCUCGCAUGUCAACUUCACAGGGUAUUCACACAGACUUGUCCUAAGUAGAGCGUGGCCUGGCUUUGUGCAGCUUGCCUUCAGGCUACAGAAUGGGGAAUCGCCUGUACUGUGGGCAUACUGCAGCGUUACUGGGAGAGCAGUCUGUUACGAGGACUGGUACAGUCGCCUGGGGGUUUUCCAUCGUGCCUCAACGCUGUGCUGGAGUUCUAACUGCAUAAUUUUUGCCAUGGACUAAUUUUAUUCCUCAUUGAUGGAGUAUAUUGAUAAAAGUUAACUCAAUCGCUUUUGGUUUUGUAAUUUAAUUGGCAGAAUUAAUUAUUUUGGAUAGUACGUGUUCUUACAUUAUAAAAUAUUACUACUAGAGGGAAUGCUGUUUUAGAUGGAGUCUGGGUGGGUAUCUCUAACAAAGACUGAGUGUGAACUGGAUUGGCGAAACAAUUCUGCUGUAACAAAAGUGAAGUGGGAUUUUUUGGGGUUGGUUUUCAGCUGAAUGCUUUCACCAUGUAGCUGCACAAAUGUUUGUGCUUGCACAGUGGAUGAACAGUUCAGGAGCAGAAAUGACCGGAUGAGAAUAGGAGACGGAUGAGGCUUUCUGUGCUGGCACUGAUAGCAUUUUUUGCCAGCUAAAAAAUUGUUCACUGAACUACAAUUAUUGCCACCAGAAAUUGUCCUAUUAAAAUACUUGUGUGGCUGAAAUUUGGCAACAGUGUGAAAACAAAGAUAUUAGCACUGCCUAGUUUGGGUCUAGUAAAUAUGCACGGACACCGGGUAGAGGGAUAUAAAGAAGGUGCAGCCAGACUCUUCUCAGCGAUACCAGUGAAUGAACAACAGGCAGCGGGCACAAAUUGACAUACAUGCAAGAGAAAACAAUUUUACAAUGAGAGUUAGCAAGGACUGAAACAGGUUGCCCUUAAGAGGCUUUGGAGUCUCCCAAAAGGGAGACUUGGAACCUAGUUGGGCAUUGCUGUGAGCAGCCUGCUGUAGCUGACUGUGCUUUGGGUAGUGGCUUUGGACUAAAUAAUCUUCAGGGGUCCCUUCUGACAUCAGCUGUGACUCUGAACAUUCACUCAAAUGUAAAGGUGGUUUCCUGGUACAGUGUGUUUGCCCAGGGCUUGUCCUUGGCAUUCUGCGUAAAUCUCAAGUGCUUUGUCUCUGUUACCGGUCAGAUAAAUAAUUAAUGAGAGUAACAGAAAUAGAUGCAGUGAUAUUACUCGACUAUGUUAGGAGAGAGGAUAUGUUUCAUUUUUUCUGUAUUACUGACAUGUACCUCAGUGUGCAUGUGACACCUUUCUAAACAUCGUAAGGUAUGAGUAAUCCAGGUGGCUUUUUGCACAUGCUUUUUGGUUCUGCCUAACUUGUAAAAUGGGAAUACUCUGAGGUUGUGUAGAUCUAUGGGGUUUUUUUGGGUAGUCUUUGUGUAACUUGUGAUGUGGGCCAACAGUCUGGCUUAAUAGCACAUUUCCUACUUACACCUCUUAACACUUUACUCCCAGUAUGGGAUCCCUCAGUUGACUUCUUUAUAAUCCCAGUAGCGGCCUAGUCAGGAUCUUCUCUGAGGUUGUUGAAAUCAUUCAUCGUGUCUUCAUUUAGUUUUUACAAAGGCAGUGAAUCCCUACUGGUCUCCACUCACGGUGACUGAAUAGCAGUGUGUGACUGCAGUAUAAUUUAAACAGCCUCCCAUGGGCUCCUUGGAUUUGGAAGGCAAGGGGGAUAUACUUAGAUUUUACUUUGUAACAUUUCUCCUUGAGCUCAUUAGAGAAAACUCUUUUCAUUUUCUUAGUUCUUGCUUACUCAAUAUCAGGCAAGGCUCAAGUUGCAAGCAUUCAUAGCUUACGCUCUUAGCAUCUUCAUAGUGUUAAAGGUGUUCUACCAUAAUCAAAAUGUAUCCCUAGGUGUUAAUGAGCUUAUCAGUUAAAGCCAUUAUCUUUAUACCUUGUUCUCAGUCAGCAAAAACUAAAGUAUCUGACUCGAACAACAAGGUUAUUAAGGAGAAUUUUGAUGGGCUGGGUAUAAGAAUAUGGAAAAUGAUCCAUACCACUUCUUAUCAGGAGAAUGGUAAAGAAAAGCAACUGUUUGUCCAUGUCCAAGUGUGUGAGUUUCCUUUGUAAUAAGUCUUCAGUAAUUUGUGGUCCCAGUGUUUCUUUUUCAGGAAGCAUUUAGACCAUGGUUCUGGUGGAAAGCAACUUUUAACAUUUGCUGUGCAGAUCUGCACAUCUUAUGUUAAGAACUACAUUUGUUAGAGCUGUUUAUGAUUUGAUAAAUUAUUUUAUUUUUAAUUACUCAGAUGCCUUGGUUUGGUAAAGCAGCAUUGCAUUUGUGAUCUCCACCUGUCAUCAUCUAGAGGAGGGGCUGCUGCUCAUUAAGCUCUGGGCAAUGCAGAUGAGCAGAGCUUACUCAAAGAAAUAAUGAAAGCUACUUACCUCUAAGUAGAGUUCUUAAAGACAACUCCACAUUUUUAUCUUUUUUCAAAAAUGAGUUCUAAUCGGUUCAGACUGAAACUGAAAACCAAGGCUGGGAAUGUGAAUAAGAACCAAAAUUCUCUUACGGAAAACAGGCCGCCUCAGAGAAAUUUAACGCUCUCAGAAAAAUGGUAAUUGGUGAGGAUAGCAAAUAGGUGUCAUGUAUAUUCCUCACCUCCAAGGUAUUUUUCCACACAGUACCUAAAUCAUUCUCAUUAGAAAGACUGUCACUUUGUAAUACGAAGUAAUGAGUGCUUAUUAGAGUUACCAUUAGCGUGUCUGUGGAACAGUUUGUGAAACUCGUGUUUCUAAUGCAAUCAUGUAAAUUCUAUGGCAUAUGUUAUUCAGUCCUUUUUUCAGUUUUAUAGAACUGAAUACAACAGCUAAAAACCUGCAAGUUUUGAGAUGUUUGGCAGCGAUAAAUAUUAGUGAGAGUGGAAUAGCCAGGUGAAACCUGUUCAAUAGUGUGUGUUACUGCAGUGCUCUAAAACCUGGUUAGGAUGAAGUGGAGCCUAUUGCCAUAGAUGUAGGAACUGUAUCUGUGGUGAGCAGUGACUCAGGCUUUAAUAUUGAAGAGGUUAGUGUGAUGACAUAACGAAAGGGCAUAAUUUCAUCCUUGAAUCUGUGUAUGAUACAGUAAUGAGCAGAAAUGGAGUGGUUAUGUCACGUCAUUAAUGAUACAGAUACUGGAAUAUUAUGCCUAGUUUAGUUCCCGGUACCUUAAACUGUUGGAAAACUGUAAGUAACACAGAGAAGAGGCAUAAAUGAGCUUGGGAAUACAAACUGUAAAAUGCAAGAGUUUCAAAUCAGUGCCUUUCAGUUUGUCUGAAAGGUAGGAGAUCAUCUUUGGUUACCUGGUGUGGUAUUUUAGAGACGAUUUUAACAGGAACUGGUGUUUUGGAGAAAACAUCUGAAUAACCUAUUGCUUAAAAUUAAACCCACUCACAUUCUAAAGAAAAGUGAAACAGAGGCCUAAGUGAAGGCAGUUAGCCACUGAAACAGCUUCUAAAAGAAGUAGAUCAUCUGUCCCCUUGGCAUCAUAACUGGAUUAGUUUCUAGGUGGUGUAUUCAGGUCUAAAGCCAACCUAAAUUACAGGCCUCCAUGUAGUGAAGAGCUGUGAUCUGUGCUGGAUGGAAAAUCAUACUAGCUGUUAAAAAAUCCUUCUGCUCUUAAGUUCUAUGAGUGAGUUGUUCACUGAAUCUCCUUUAGGUAGUCAGUUUUUGAAUGUCAAGAAGCAUUGUGGAGGAGGUAGCACAGGUCAUGAGUAUUCCAUUAAAUGCUACUUUACAUCAGUUUGAUCAGUCCUCAUUGCACAGACUGCAUCACGAAAGCAGUGAUCGCCUCGAGUCUAGUUCUGGGUGAGUAGCUUUCACUUCCUUUUACAGAAGGUUCAAGCCGACUGUCUAUGCUAUGCACCAAGUUGUUUGAUUUUUUUUUUAUUUUUUUUUCCCCCCCGAAUGUAGCAUGUUCAGCACCCAACAGCCAAAGCUCUGGAUGAUUUCUACUGGUAACAAUUAUUCUUUCUGUAGCUGGAAGACAUGAUUGGAAUGCUGCACAAAGAAAUAUUUGAUUAAGUCUCUUUGACAGGACAAGUUUUUAGAAGACUGUAGCCACCACUGACAUUAAACAACCUAAGUGUUUUGCUGCUUCCUUGGGAAAAAAGCAAUGUACUCCCAGUGGCUCUGCAUUUCCAUCUUCUCAUGGGCAAAUCUUUCUCCGUAGGUCCAUCUUAAUAGGGAUCAUACUCUGCAUUGUUCUUCUGAUCCUGUCAGCUUUCUUUGAGGAGUAGCAUUUUGUUCCUUUUGUGUAUCUUUUAAUAUGAUAGAAAUGUCUUACAGAAGUCUGAAAUCAGAGCUCCUCAAAAGAUGCAUUUGCUGCUGCAAGUUUAGGUUGGAUUAUUGUUAGACAUCUUUAUGUAUUGGGGCGGUGGAACUGUUACAAAUUGCUGUCUUUUCCCCUACCUCAGAAUAGCAUUCCUUUCGAACACCAUGGCAAGUAGCUGCUCGUCUCCUUUCCUUGGAAGGCAGCACUGGAUUCCUGCUCGGGUAACUACCAGUGUUCUCCAGUCUGCUGUGCACCGAUGAAAAUUAUUUUGCCGUGGAGGGCAGAUAAUGCAUGGCUGAUCUCCUAUGUUACCAAUGGCUUUACUAGCAAAAAUACCCUAAACUAGAGCGGAAACAUUACAAUUGGAGUUCUCCAUGUGACUUAAAAGGCACUUGGAGGAACGUGGACAGACUCCAGCAGCUGCCAUUACAGGACGCUUUUGCCAGAAACCCAGUGACCUUAAGAGAACCCUGUGGUAACAGGGCUGGAAAAGAAAGAUGGUUUACAGAGUUGACCGCCUGUUAUCGGAUGGCCAUUUCAGUUUUCCCUCCACAGGCGGCAGACUUUACCCCCUUUUUAUUAUUCUAUUGUAACUAUAAAUCUUUUACUUGGUUUAAGAAAGUUUUUUGUAUCAUUUUGCUAAAAUUAUUGGCUUAAUUCUCUGUAAAGAACUCUUGCUUUGUCUGAUUUAAAAAAAUGUAGAAUAUAAACAAACCUAAACUAAAGACAGUGACUUGAAAUUUCUUGUUUAAAAAAAAUUAGUCGGGCAGGGAACAUGUAAAUGAAUCAAAACUAUUUGACUUUAUUUAAACUGUUUACUUAUUUGUAUGGUCCCAUUCUGACUGAGACAGUUUUCUCAUGGAAUUUUUAAAACUGUUAGAAUUUUACUUUGCUGUUUGCUGUCUUCAUUCACAUUUAACAUUUAACUUUCUGUGUAACACAAAGGAAUUUUUAAUACUCAGAUUUUUUUCAUAAAAGAGAACUAAAUACCCUGCAGGAGAGUAUAAGUAUAGUAAAGGUGGUGAUAAUGGAUGUAU